rnacentral:tRNA from 1 species
ACCUGGCUGGCUCUGUUAAUGGAGCAUGUGACCCUUGAUCUUGGGGUUGUGGGUUCAAGUCCCAUGUUGGGUG